rnacentral:rRNA from 1 species
AACGAACGCUGGCGGCAUGCCUAACACAUGCAAGUCGAACGAAACCUUCGUGUCUAUGUGCGCACGUCUACUUAACACCUGGUAACCUGCCCGUAGGUUCGGAAUAACUCCCCUAAAGGUGUGCUAAUACCAGUUAAUGUCUUCGCACCAAAGAUUUAUCGCCUUUGGAUGGGCCCUCGUUGGAUUAGCUAGUUGGUAGUGUAAAAGCCUACCAUGGCGACGAUCCAUAGCUGGUCUGAUACGAUGACAAGCCACAAUGGGACUGCGACACGGCCCAGACUGCUACGGGAGGGAGCAGUGGGGAAUAUUGGAGAAUGGGCGAAAGCGCGACAAAGCAAUGCCGCGUGAGUGAUGCAGGCGUUAGGGUUGUAAAGCUCUCUUACACGGGAUGAUAAUGACAGUAACGGGAGAAUAAGCACCGGCUAACUACGUG